rnacentral:misc_RNA from 1 species
AAAGUCGUAACAAGGUUUCCGUAGGUGAACCUGCGGAAGGAUCAUUAUUGAAUGAAUGUAGAAGAGUUUGGUUGUCGCUGGCCCCCCCCGCCCCCUUCUUUUGUUGGGGGGGGGAAGGCAUGUGCACGCCUUCUCUUUUCAUCCACAAAAAAACACCCCCUUGUGCACUUGUGAGACCGGGGCGUCGUCUGCCCUGCUUUCUUACAUAAACUCAUAUAUAAAUUGAAUGUAAUUUGAUGUAAUACAUCUUUAAACUAAGUUUCAACAACGGAUCUCUUGGCUCUC